AUUGAACGCUGGCGGCAGGCCUAACACAUGCAAGUCGAGCGAGCGGCGGACGGGUGAGUAAAGUCUGGGAACCUGCCUGAUGGCGGGGGAUAACUACUGGAAACGGUAGCUAAUACCGCCUACCCUCUGAUGUGCCCAGAUGGGAUUGGCUAGUAGGUGGGGUAACGGCUCACCUAGGCGACGAUCCCUCGCGGGUCUGCGAGGAUGACCAGCCAAACGGGAACGGAGAAACGGUCCGGACUCAUACGGGAGGCAGAAGUGGGGAAUAUUGCACAAUGGGGGCAAGCCUGAUGCAGCCAUGCCGCGUGGGGUAAGAAGGCCUUCGGGUUGUAAAGCACUUUAAGCGGGGAGGCGUUACCCGCAGAAGAAGCACCGGCUAACUCCGUGCCAGCAGCCGCGGUAAUUC
rnacentral:rRNA from 1 species